rnacentral:rRNA from 1 species
AUGAUUUCUCAAAAGAAUUUUAAUGCUUUGCUUGAAGAAAAAUUGCUCAAAGUUGAUGAUUUGGCUAGGAACGUUGAUAGACUUUCGCUUGAUGUUGAUUCUCUUAAACUUAGACCUUCUAGUCCUAAGCAUGAUAUCAAUGAUUCUCUCAAAAUGAUGAGAAUUUCCAUUGACAAGUGCAAGGAAAGAACCGCCAGAUUGCGUGCUAAGAAAGAUAGCUUUAUAAAAGCAUGUUCUUCUAGUUUCCGUGAAAAUAAUGAUGAGGAUCUUAAAGUUAUUAAUGCAUCUCCUAUUAGAUAUAUGUUUUGCAAUGUGAAUUUUGAUGAUUAUGGGACUGAUCAUGAAUCAACUUUGCCUAGAAGGCGUCCCAAGAAUUCGGAGUCUUUAGAUCUUAAUGCUAAAUUUUGUAAAAGAGAGAUUGGAGAAUCCUCAACUUCUAAUAAUGUUGAACCUACUAUCUUGGAUUUCAAGGAAUUUGACAAUCAUAAUUUCUCUUUAAAAGGUUGUAUUUCCUUGUUGCAAUCCGUUGUUAAUUCUCCUCAUGCUUAUAGUCAAAACAAAGCUUUUACCAAACAUAUUGUUGAUGCCUUGAUGCAAUCUUAUGGUGAAUAA